GUGCCCGUAGCUCAGCUGGAUAGAGCAACAGCCUUCUAAGCUGUGGGUCACUGGUUCGAAUCCAGUCGGGCACGCAA
rnacentral:tRNA from 1 species